rnacentral:rRNA from 1 species
AGAGCGAACGCUGGCGGCAGGCCUAACACAUGCAAGUCGAGCGGCCGUAGCAAUACGGCAGCGGCAGACGGGAGAGUAACACGUGGGAACGCGCCCUUCGGUUCGGAAUAACUCAGGGAAACUUGGGCUAAUACCGGAUACGCCCUUACGGGGAAAGAUUUAUUGCCGAAGGAACGGCCCGCGUCCGAUUAGCUUGUUGGUGAGGUAACGGCUCACCAAGGCGACGAUCGGUAGCUGGUCUGAGAGGAUGACCAGCCUCACUGGGACUGAGACACGGCCCAGACUCCUACGGGAGGCAGCAGUGGGGAAUAUUGGACAAUGGGCGCAAGCCUGAUCCAGCCAUGCCGCGUGGGUGAUGAAGGCCCUAGGGUUGUAAAGCCCGUUUCGGCGGGGAAGAUAAUGACGGUACCCGCAGAAGAAGCCCCGGCUAACUUCGUGCCAGCAGCCGC